GCACAACAGCUAAUACCACAACCGCCGUCAGGACCGCUGCAGCAACAGAGGUUCCCCAAACACUCCGUACUACCACCGUCCCAGCUGGAAACACGACGGUUACAUUCCCAGGUACAGCUAGCCCCACUGUGGCUGCACCGAGCACUCCAGCAACUCAGAACUUCAGUGCAGCUCCAACCACGGACUCCGCUGCUAGGCCUAACUCCACAGCCCGGCCCGGGAUCCCAGAUGUCACGACAGAAGAGCAGACAACAGCGGUGCCCAGCUGCCACCCUCCAGCUGCCAACACACCUGGUGCUCGCCUCUUCCUAUCACUGGGACUGACCACUCGCCUGAACAUCAGCGAGCCCCAGGUCAGGGGUAUGGUUUUGUCUAAGGUGAGCUUGGUGAAAUCUGACAGCUCUCCCAUAGACUGUCAACGCAGAC